CAAGUCUAGUAUUAUAAUGCCCUUGUAAAUUAGGUAUCUUGUAUAAUGUUUAAUGUUAAAUUUACUUGAUAAUAUUGUUAUGAAUACUUUGAUUACGUAACUAAUGCUUGGACUUUAAUUUCAGUAGCGUCAUUAUUAUUGUAAAGGCAAUAGAAAUGAACAGAAGUGUUAAAGUACAUGGACCCUAUCGCCGGACCACUGGUCAUAGUUAUAAAACUUAUAUACAAAAUCAUUGAAGCAGUCCUACGAGCCUUACUUGAGUUAUGCAUAGAUGUUGCAUCUUACUCUGUUAUUGGUGGAAGCUGCAUAUUCUUUGGAUUAAUGUUUUUAAGGUAUGGAAUGUGUGAAAACGAUUGCCCAACAAGACAUUUUACAGUUAUAGCUGGCGUAUCCGUAGCUCUGUACGCUGCUCUCCUCAUGUUGUAUAGAUUCUUCUAAACCCAGUAUGAUUUUCUGUUAUUGUUCAAUUGUUUAUUAUAAGCUUACUCGAA